rnacentral:lncRNA from 1 species
AUUUAAUUUGUGGAAAAAUAAAGAUGUCUUGGUUAUAUGCUGGAGUGGUGUAGUUCAUUGCCAUCUCUUGAACUUUCUAGACCCUAUCCUGUCUUGAAAUUUGGGAACUGACAGACUGAUAAACCCUGAGACUCACAUGAUCAUUGCAGUGAAGAACAAGUAAAAGAAUCAUGAUCAUUCCCUUAUUUCAGACCUUCGUUGGCACUCCCUCUUCUACAGAAUGCAGUCCACACUCUGAGUGAGGGUAAAUACACAGCAGCAUAAUGUGCUCCUGUUAUCCUCAUACCCUCAGCCUCUCCUGUUCCUCUGACUUUUCACCUUUUGCUAUUGGAACACUGGACUCAGACACAGAGCUGUUUCAUUGCAUUGUGUCUUUGUCCAUCUUGUUCCUUUUUCUGGGAAAGGACAUUAUAUGCCAGAAGCAAGAGGUGAGUUAUAUCAUUUAAUUCUUACCUGACUUUGAUCUGCUUUGUUGGUGACUUGUAAGGUAGUCAAUGAUUUUGUUGGCUUGAUAGAGGAUUGUAUCAUUCAUUUCACAAUCACUUAUUAAUUGCCUUCUAUGUGCUAAGCAAGGCGCUGAGAUAGAGAAGUAAGACAGAAUCCCCAUCUUCAACUAGCUUAUGGAGAGAAGUUAAAUAAGUGCUAUGUUAAAUAGCAUGGUCAAGAUAGAAGGAAACCUCACUUGGCAAGUUCUGGAUUAAUCCUGACUUUGCCAGGGAGAUUGGAGCAACUGGGCUUUGCAGAAAAAGCAAUUAACCUAGCAAAGGAAUGAGUGCGUGAGCAACCCAACAUAAAAAGAAAUGUUCUUGGACAUGGUUUUUGACAGGUCUAUGGCUUUAAGAGCACCAAGCUUGCCCAGGAGAAGAGUUUUGCUCAAUACACUCAAUGAUGUGGUCAGAGUUUAUCAAGAUAGUUCCCAAAAUAUUGAAAAGAAGAAUAUUCACAGAAGAAAAGCGGGGAGUGGGCAGGUAAUGUGAUCAAGACUUUUGGCACUCUUUUGGAGUAUUUUGGAGUCUCUGGGUCAGGCAAUAUAUGUUUCACUUACCAAUUAUCUGAUCUAUCAACACAUUCAAGGACACAGCCUGGGUAAGUUUGUGUCAUGCCCAGUAGCACAACCCUACCCCCCCCCCCCCCCACAUAAUCUGGAAAUCCCACCUUUUCAUGUCUA